GAUGAACGCUGGCGGCGUGCUUAACACAUGCAAGUCGAACGAAGCACUUGAAACGGAUUCUUCGGAUGAAGUUUCCUGUGACUGAGUGGCGGACGGGUGAGUAACGCGUGGGUAACCUGCCUCAUACAGGGGGAUAACAGUUAGAAAUGGCUGCUAAUACCGCAUAAGCGCACGGCAUCGCAUGAUGCAGUGUGAAAAACUCCGGUGGUAUGAGAUGGACCCGCGUUGGAUUAGCUAGUUGGCAGGGUAACGGCCUACCAAGGCGACGAUCCAUAGCCGGCCUGAGAGGGUGGGCGGCCACGUUGAGACUAAGACACGGCCCAGACUCCUACGGGAGGCAGCAGUGGGGAAUAUUGCACAAUGGGGGAAACCCUGAUGCAGCGACGCCGCGAGAGCGAAGAAGUAUUUCGGUAUGUAAAGCUCUAUCAGAAGGGAAGAAAAUGACGGUACCUGACUAAGAAGCCACGGCUAACUACGUGCCAGCCGCCGCAGUAA
rnacentral:rRNA from 1 species